rnacentral:rRNA from 1 species
AUCUUCGGACCUCUCGCUAAUAGAUGAGCCUAGGCCGGAUUAGCUAGUUGGUAGGUAAAGGCCUACCAAGGCGACGAUCUGUAGCUGGUCUGAGAGGAUGGCCAGCCACACUGGAACUGAGACACGGUCCAGACUCCUACGGGAGGCAGCAGUGGGGAAUAUUGGACAAUGGGGGCAACCCUGAUCCAGCCAUGCCGCGUGUGUGAAGAAGGCCUUCGGGUUGUAAAGCACUUUAAGCGAGGAGGAAGGUUUUAGUUUAAUACACUAAAGAAUUGACGUUACUCGCAGAAUAAGCACCGGCUAACUCUGUG